UUAGAGAAGAAAAUUUGGCCUAUUUUCUUUUUUAACAUUGUACAUAUACACUGUUUUUUUUUUAUUUUGCAGAAGUCUUGCAGGAAAUCAUCUUAUCGCCUUAGAGAAGAGUAUAUUUGAUAAACUGCCGCAUUUAGUCACCUUGUAUCUGAAUAAAAACAAUAUUUUCAACAUAAACAAGGAGACAGCAGCUAUACUCACCAAGUUGAUGGCAGUAGACCUCAGCAACAACCCUUAUAAUUGCUCCUGUACUCCAGAAACAAAGUUUAUGAUCAAUUGGAUUCAGAAAGUGAAAGGGCCAAAACCAAAGGGCAUAAACUGGGUAGCUUUUGUCAAUGACCAUGUUACAACAUGCGCGUCUCCAAACUUUUUGAAGGGAAAAAGACUAGAUUCAUUAACCGUGAACGACGUGUGUCCAGAUACCACGUAGAUGAUGAACGUUAAAUUUCGUACGAACGCCUGGAAAUUUAAAUGUAUUGGUGGCAUAAACGUUUGUGAUAUAAUAUCCAAGAACAAAACUGAUGCAAAUCACUACGAUAAAUUUGAAAAAACUUUGGUGAAAGUUUUCAUUACGUCGUGUUUUACUAUAAACUCAAUUAUACAAUUAUCUUCUUGUUAUCGAGCAUCCCGGUGAUUGUUUUUACUUGCAUUGUUUAUUGUUAUGAAAUAAAAACAUUAGACCUAAUGCUUUUUAGGUAUAUUGGCCUAAUUGAACUUAACGAACUCUAAAAAUGGAUAAGUCAACGAUGAAAUAUUGUUAAGUUAGAAAAUUUCUGUAAUCGAAAAGGCGAGGACACAAAAAAGCGAAAAAUAGGUCUAGUAACGAAAUAAAGACCACGUAGAUUUAUAGAGAAAAAAGUUCAGAUAUAAAGAAAUUUUAAUGGAAAACAAGAAGGAAAGGUCGACGUUAUGAAUGAUUCACAACAGACACAUAAAGGA